UUUUUGAAUUUAAUUUAAAGUCUAGCCUGCCCACUGAAAAUUUUAAAUGGCCGCAGUAUUCUAACUGUGCAAAGGUAGCAUAAUCAUUAGUCUUUUAAUUAAAGGCUGGAAUGAAUGGUUGGAUGAAAUAUUAACUGUUUCAUAUAAAUUUAUGAUAGAAUUUUAUUUUUUAGUUAAAAAGCUAAAAUUUAAUUAAAAGACGAGAAGACCCUAUAAAUCUUUAUAUUUUAAUGAUUUUAAUUAUAUAGAUAAAUUUAAUUAUAAUUUUAUAAAAUAUUUUAUUGGGGUGAUAUUAAAAUUUAAUAAACUUUUAAUUUAUAAUUAACAUAAAUUAAUGAAUUAUUGAUCCAUUAUUAAUGAUUAAAAAAUUAAGUUACUUUAGGGAUAACAGCGUAAUUUUUUUAGAGAGUUCAUAUUGAUAAAAA
rnacentral:rRNA from 1 species